CGCGGCCUAUCAGCUUGUUGGUGGGGUGAUGGCCUACCAAGGCGACGACGGGUAGCCGGCCUGAGAGGGCGACCGGCCACACUGGGACUGAGACACGGCCCAGACUCCUACGGGAGGCAGCAGUGGGGAAUAUUGCACAAUGGGCGGAAGCCUGAUGCAGCGACGCCGCGUGAGGGAUGACGGCCUUCGGGUUGUAAACCUCUUUCACCCAUGACGAAGCGAGAGUGACGGUAGUGGGAGAAGAAGCGCCGGCCAACUACGCGCCAGCAGCCGCGGUAAGACGUAGGGCGCGAGCGUUGUCCGGAUUUAUUGGGCGUAAAGAGCUCGUAGGCGGCUUGUCGCGUCGAAUGUGAAAUCUCAGGGCUCAACUCUGACAUUGCAUUCGAUACGGGCAGGCUAGAGUUCGGUAGGGGAGACUGGAAUUCCUGGUGUAGCGGUGAAAUGCGCAGAUAUCAGGAGGAACACCGGUGGCGAAGGCGGGUCUCUGGGCCGAUACUGACGCUGAGGAGCGAAAGCGUGGGGAGCGAACAGGAUUAGAUACCCUGGUAGUCCACGCUGUAAACGUUGGGCGCUAGGUGUGGGGGGCCUCUCCGGUUCUCUGUGCCGCAGCUAACGCAUUAAGCGCCCCGCCUGGGGAGUACGG
rnacentral:rRNA from 1 species